rnacentral:lncRNA from 10 species
GAUGUCAAUUGGUGUCCUAUUUUGAUUCAAGGUCCAUAUGGAUAGCUCUCAUACUGGGGUCAAGUACACCUCCUGAUUGAACCAUCCUCUACUAACUCAGAAAUGGGAACAUGAGUAAAAACCAGGACAUGUUUUUCACUAAGAUGAACUGGUGUAUGAGUUCAGAGGUGGAAAAGACUGCUCCCAGAAGAGUGUUGGUUAGCUUCAUAAAUAA